UACAGAGGGUGCAAGCGUUAAUCGGAAUUACUGGGCGUAAAGCGCACGUAGGCGGAUACUUAAGUCAGGGGUGAAAUCCCGGGGCUCAACCCCGGAACUGCCUUUGAUACUGGGGUAUCUCGAGUCCGGAAGAGGUGAGUGGAAUUCCGAGUGUAGAGGUGAAAUUCGUAGAUAUUCGGAGGAACACCAGUGGCGAAGGCGGCUCACUGGUCCGGUACUGACGCUGAGGUGCGAAAGCGUGGGGAGCAAACAGG
rnacentral:rRNA from 1 species